rnacentral:lncRNA from 1 species
GGUUAGUAGAGCCUCUCGGGCCAGGGACUCCCUGGUGUGCCUGUAUCCGAUGCCUUCCAUGGCACUUGACAUACAAUGGCAAGGAUCCAGGGAACCUGGAAGUUUCUGAGAGAGGUGGCUGCUGUCAUACUCAGAGGACAGAAGCUGUAAAGGAGAGUAUCUGCUCUGAAGGCAUCUUGAAGGAGAGGAAAGGGACCCCACGCCACAGCCUGUCCUUGGAAGUUUCUCCUUUCCCUUCUUUCUUGUGGGUGUCUCUCCCCUCCAGUGCAGCGUUAUUGCAGAUGGGGUGGAGGAACAUGUUCCAGGGGAAACAUCCUUCCAGAACUUUCUGAGGCUGGUUGGCUGAUGGCAGGUGCCCCGGGCCUGCACCC